AACAACAGCAGUAGUAGCAGCAGUAGUAACAACAGCAGUAGUUGCAGCAGUAGUAACAACAGCAGUAGUUGCAGCAGCAGCAACAGCAGUAGUUGCAGCAACAGCAGCAGCAGCAGUAGUAGCAGCAACAGCAGUAGUAGCAGCAACAGCAGUAGUAGCAGCAACAGCAGCAACAGCAGUAGUAGCAGCAACAGCAGUAGUAGCAGCAACAGCAGUAGUAGCAGCAGCAGCAGCAGUAGUAACAGCAGCAGUAGUAGCAGCAACAGCAGCAGUAGCAGCAACAGCAGUAGUAGUAGCAGCAACAGCAGCAGUAGUAGCAGCAGCAGCAGCAGCAGCAGCAGAGCAGCAGCAGCAGCAGCAGUAGUAGAAGCAGCAGCAGCAGUAACAACAGCAGCAGCAGUAACAACAGCAGCAGCAGCAGUAACAACAGCAACAGCAGCAGCAGUAACAGCAGCAGCAGUAGCAGCAGCAGCAGCAGCAGUAACAACAGCAGCAGCAGCAGUAACAACAGCAGCAGCAGCAGUAACAACAGCAGCAGCAGUAGCAACAGCAGCAGCAGCAGUAACAACAGCAGCAGCAGCAGUAACAACAGCAGCAGCAGUAACAACAGCAGCAGCAGCAGUAACAACAGCAGCAGCAGCAGUAACAGCAGCAGCAGCAGCAGUAACAACAGCAGCAGCAGUAACAGCAGCAGCAGCAGCAGUAGUAGUAACAACAACAGCAGCAGUAGUAGUAACAACAACAGCAGCAGCAGUAGCAACAGCAGCAGCAGCAGCAUCAGCAGCAGCAGCAGCAGCAGUAGUAACAACAACAGCAGCAGCAGUAGUAACAACAACAGCAGCAGCAACAGUAGUAACAACAACAGCAGCAGCAGCAGUAGUAACAACAGCAGCAGCAGCAGCAGUAGUAACAACAACAGCAGCAGCAGCAGCAGCAA
rnacentral:lncRNA from 1 species